UAUAAAUAUUGAUGUAAAAUUAAUAUAGGCAGUAAAGUUGUUAAAAAGGGAUACAUUUAUUACUCAAAUAAGUUAGACAGCAUGACAGUAAAACCAAACCAUAACAGUGAAACAGAAGGUACCUAUUUUGUACCAGUUAAUCUUCGGGCUAGAUCUCGCUCGUGCGAGGAGGCCCUAAAAGACUUGUGAACCCCUUGUGAACGCCCUCGGUGAUCCUUAACUGGCGUGAACUGGCGCAGGAUAGGGCAGAGUGGCGAUCUCUUGUGUCGGAUCUCGUGUGAUCCUCUUUGGGUCGCUGAGCCAGUGAAAUUAUGAGUAUUAGCCACGAUAUAACUCAUGAAGGAGGGAGAACCUAGAGAACGAACCUAUGGAACGAGAGACGAAGUUGGUCAUAAAUAGAACAGGAGCGAUGAGAUAUUGGGCAGAUUCUCCGGUCGCUGCUUGCUCCUCAUACCCACCCAGAAACUCUGCCGUGUGUCUGCU